rnacentral:ncRNA from 2 species
AGGGAAGCGAAAGCGCCUGGACUGUCUUCUAGUGAGGACAGUUGACGCGGGGGAGGUUGGCGAACCAUUCGGCGGGUGCCUCCCGGCGUUCUCGAUCACGCCGCAAGCAAAACUCGAAACCCAUCGGGCGACCGGUGGAACAAGAGUGCGCAGAUCGAC